ACCGUAUAGGGGAGCCGCAGGGAAACCGAGUCUUAACUGGGCGUUAAGUUGCAGGGUAUAGACCCGAAACCCGGUGAUCUAGCCAUGGGCAGGUUGAAGGUUGGGUAACACUAACUGGAGGACCGAACCGACUAAUGUUGAAAAAUUAGCGGAUGACUUGUGGCUGGGGGUGAAAGGCCAAUCAAACCGGGAGAUAGCUGGUUCUCCCCGAAAGCUAUUUAGGUAGCGCCUCGUGAACUCAUCUUCGGGGGUAGAGCACUGUUUCGGCUAGGGGGUCAUCCCGACUUACCAACCCGAUGCAAACUACGAAUACCGAAGAAUGUUAUCACGGGAGACACACGGCGGGUGCUAACGUCCGUCGUGAAGAGGGAAACAACCCAGACCGCCAGCUAAGGUCCCAAAGUCAUGGUUAAGUGGGAAACGAUGUGGGAAGGCCCAGACAGCCAGGAUGUUGGCUUAGAAGCAGCCAUCAUUUAAAGAAAGCGUAAUAGCUCACUGGUCGAGUCGGCCUGCGCGGAAGAUGUAACGGGGCUAAACCAUGCACCGAAGCUGCGGCAGCGACACUAUGUGUUGUUGGGUAGGGGAGCGUUCUGUAAGCCGUUGAAGGUGGCCUGUGAGGGUUGCUGGAGGUAUCAGAAGUGCGAAUGCUGACAUAAGUAACGAUAAUGCGGGUGAAAAACCCGCACGCCGGAAGACCAAGGGUUCCUGUCCAACGUUAAUCGGGGCAGGGUGAGUCGACCCCUAAGGCGAGGCCGAAAGGCGUAGUCGAUGGGAAACAGGUUAAUAUUCCUGUACUCGGUGUUACUGCGAAGGGGGGACGGAGAAGGCUAUGUUGGCCGGGCGACGGUUGUCCCGGUUUAAGCAUGUAGGCGGAUG
rnacentral:rRNA from 1 species